UACGAAGGGGGCUAGCGUUGUUCGGAAUUACUGGGCGUAAAGCGCGCGCAGGCGGUUUUGUAAGUUAGGGGUGAAAUCCCCGGGCUCAACCCGGGAAUGGCCUUUAAGACUGCAAGGCUAGAGGACGAGAGAGGUGAGUGGAAUUCCCAGUGUAGAGGUGAAAUUCGUAGAUAUUGGGAAGAACACCGGUGGCGAAGGCGGCUCACUGGCUCGUUUCUGACGCUGAGGCGCGAAAGCGUGGGGAGCAAACAGG
rnacentral:rRNA from 1 species